UUAAGUUCAGCGGGUAGUCCCACCUGAUCUGAGGUCAAGUUUCAUGAAAGAUGUCUCUCGACAAUUUGAAGCAAUCCCAACGUAAAGCCUGGAUGUAGAUAAUUAUCACACCAAGGCCCGCGUGGGUUUUUGCUAAUGCAUUCAAGGGGAGCGGAUCCAGAUAGACCCGCAAAGGCCCCCCAAAAUCCCCACCAUUCAUG
rnacentral:misc_RNA from 1 species